rnacentral:rRNA from 1 species
AUUGAACGCUGGCGGCAUGCCUUACACAUGCAAGUCGAACGGCAGCACGGGUGCUUGCACCUGGUGGCGAGUGGCGAACGGGUGAGUAAUACAUCGGAACAUGUCCUGUAGUGGGGGAUAGCCCGGCGAAAGCCGGAUUAAUACCGCAUACGAUCUACGGAUGAAAGCGGGGGACCUUCGGGACUCGCGCUAUAGGGUUGGCCGAUAGCUGAUUAGCUAGUUGGUGGGGUAAAGGCCUACCAAGGCGACGAUCAGUAGCUGGUCUGAGAGGACGACCAGCCACACUGGGACUGAGACACGGCCCAGACUCCUACGGGAGGCAGCAGUGGGGAAUUUUGGACAAUGGGCGAAAGCCUGAUCCAGCAAUGCCGCGUGUGUGAAGAAGGCCUUCGGGUUGUAAAGCACUUUUGUCCGGAAAGAAAUCCUUGGCUCUAAUACAGUCGGGGGAUGACGGUACCGGAAGAAUAAGCACCGGCUAACUACGUG